ACAGGGAGGGGACAAGGAGAGGACACGGCCAUGGAGCUGCCGACCUUCAUCGCUCUCCUUGUUUCCCUCCCGUGGGCGACGCCUUCAGCCCCAGAUCUCCCUCCCCCCGCCCCCAACAUCUCGGUGACACC